rnacentral:rRNA from 1 species
AGAGUUUGAUCCUGGCUCAGGAUGAACGCUGGCGGCGUGCUUAACACAUGCAAGUCGAACGAACCUUCGGGUUAGUGGCGGACGGGUGAGUAACGCGUGAGAAUCUGCCCUCAGGAGGGGGAUAACGGCUGGAAACGGCCGCUAAUACCCCAUAUGCCGAGAGGUGAAAUGAAUUUCGCCUGAGGAUGAGCUCGCGUCUGAUUAGCUAGUUGGUGGGGUAAGAGCCUACCAAGGCAUCGAUCAGUAGCUGGUCUGAGAGGAUGAUCAGCCACACUGGGACUGAGACACGGCCCAGACUCCUACGGGAGGCAGCAGUGGGGAAUUUUCCGCAAUGGGCGAAAGCCUGACGGAGCAACGCCGCGUGAGGGAUGAAGGCCUCUGGGCUGUAAACCUCUUUUAUCAAGGAAGAAGAUCUGACGGUACUUGAUGAAUAAGCCACGGCUAAUUCCGUGCCAGCAGCCGCGGUAAUACGGGAGUGGCAAGCGUUAUCCGGAAUUAUUGGGCGUAAAGCGUCCGCAGGCGGCCUGAUAAGUCUGUUGUCAAAGCGUGGAGCUUAACUCCAUUUCGGCAAUGGAAACUGUGAGGCUUGAGUGUGGUAGGGGCAGAGGGAAUUCCCGGUGUAGCGGUGAAAUGCGUAGAUAUCGGGAAGAACACCAGUGGCGAAGGCGCUCUGCUGGGCCAUAACUGACGCUCAUGGACGAAAGCCAGGGGAGCGAAAGGGAUUAGAUACCCCUGUAGUCCUGGCCGUAAACGAUGAACACUAGGUGUCGGGGGAAUCGACCCCCUCGGUGUCGUAGCCAACGCGUUAAGUGUUCCGCCUGGGGAGUACGCACGCAAGUGUGAAACUCAAAGGAAUUGACGGGGGCCCGCACAAGCGGUGGAGUAUGUGGUUUAAUUCGAUGCAACGCGAAGAACCUUACCGGGGUUUGACAUCCUGCGAAUCCCUUGGAAACUUGGGAGUGCCUUCGGGAGCGCAGAGACAGGUGGUGCAUGGCUGUCGUCAGCUCGUGUCGUGAGAUGUUGGGUUAAGUCCCGCAACGAGCGCAACCCACGUCUUUAGUUGCCAGCAUUGAGUUGGGCACUCUAGAGAGACCGCCGGUGAUAAACCGGAGGAAGGUGUGGAUGACGUCAAGUCAUCAUGCCCCUUACAUCCUGGGCUACACACGUACUACAAUGCUACGGACAAAGGGCAGCAAACUCGCGAGAGCUAGCAAAUCCCAUAAACCGUGGCUCAGUUCAGAUCGUAGGCUGCAACUCGCCUACGUGAAGGAGGAAUCGCUAGUAAUCGCAGGUCAGCAUACUGCGGUGAAUACGUUCCCGGGCCUUGUACACACCGCCCGUCACACCAUGGGAGUUGGUUGCACCAGAAGUAGGUAGCUUAACCUUAGGGAGGGCGCUUACCACGGUGUGGUCAAUGACUGGGGUGAAGUCGAACAAGGUA